CCCUAAACAGCCAAUAGCCGCAGAUACCGACUUUUGAAUUGAGCUGAGCUUGUAUCCGCAACUAACAUAAUAUUUCUGUGACCUCCCCUCACAAAACGUUUAUUUUUCACAUAUCUGUCCAGACGGACCACAUCUCUCAGCUCUCACCCACACAAGUUUGCUCGGAGCUCUAGACCACAAACCAUCCAGCCAGGAUCUUUGCUCACAGGUAGGUUGGCUGAAAGCACCUUAAAUACAGGCCAAACUACUAACUUCCACUGUUGAUAAUUUACCUUAACUUUGUCUUGGCACGUUUUUACUCCUUAUUUGAGAUUUACUGAGUUUGCAAAUUCUAGUUGACUAACAUCUACAGGGCUGUCAGUAUUCAGGCCUACAUGAGAAAAUAGAAAGCCUAAUAAAGUUGUUUGGUCUGACUUGUUGGACUUUUUGCGGACAAAUUGCACACAGGUAUGGCCACUGAUGUCUUUCAGGAGACUAUUUGCAAUGGCCAGGAUAAAGCCCAAUGUAAGCUCUAAAUAUGACAAGUUUUCUUAUAGGGGAGAGUGGGGUAAGAUGAGCCAUUUUUCAUAUUCCGGAUCACUUCAUCAAGGCAAUCAUAGUUUUGUCUCUAACUAGUGUAUCUGCAAUAAUACACUAGUGUAUUUCAAGAUGUUGUGCAUCCCUGCAAACCAACAGAAUGAGUGUAACCAUAACUGUCUUGAUAAUAUAGCAUAACAACUUACCCUGUGUAUGGGGUAAGUUGACCAUAGGAGCAGGGUAAGUUGAGCCCUAUUCCUACUAGCCCCCACUCCCCACCCCAGCCCACCUUCACUGUCUCUCUCCCUAAAUAACAGUCACUUCUUCACAUUCAUGUGUAUUUUUAUCUGUUAUACUCUCUUCAACUGGUACAAUAAUUCUUUUUAUUAUUAUAACUGCUAAAAAGCUGUUUUGUAAAAAUCCAUUUUAACAUGAGAAUGUCUUUAAGUGAUUCAGAACAUUUGCAACUGUAUUUUUGAAAAGAAAAAGUAACACAUUUCAACAAUCUGAACUGAAACUCUGAUCCUCUCAUCAGACUCCUUUACUAUUAUGAUGACUUUUAGUCCUCUAAGCUAAAACGGUGGACUUUUAUGUCAGUUUUUGACCUCAUGUUGUAGCUCUUAGAUACCACAAUUGAUGUAUGAAACAAAUUUAAAAUGAUCUUUUUUUGGUCUGAACACAAUUCUAAUAAAACUUAUGACAGACUAAAUUCACUUUCAAAAGUGGAAUUUUUUUCUUUUUUUGGAAAUUAAUUAAUCCAACCCCUUCACUCAUGUGCUUCUAACCUUCACAGACUCUAUCAAUUGAUGUCCAUCUCCUAAAUAUUUUGUGAUAGUUGAGAGAUAUAGCUAAUACCACUGUGAGAUCAGACAGAUUGACUGAUUCAAAAAAAGACUUAGAAAACAAAACAAAAUUUUAUAAUAAAAAGAUGCCUUUAAUAUGAAGCUGUUAUAUGAAAUGAUGUGAAAUCAGAUUGUAAAGAUGUGGCAUGUCAAUAAAUACAUUUAAAAUGCAAUUUUAUUACAUAUCCACCAGAUGUCAGGAUAGUUUUAUUUAGUGAUGUGAAGUGUAGUUAAAACUUAUACCAACAUGACUCAAAUGGCGGAGCUUUUUAGCUUACAGGUGAUCAGAUAUGAUAGAAAUUCCUAUAGGAGACAAACCACACGAGUAUUUUGUGCUUUUACUGACAUUGCAGCCGAUCUUGAUAUUUUCUCUCUGCAAAUUUAACAAUAUCUCUUACGAAGAAAGUUUAAGAAUAUGAAUAAAAAUGGAUUUUUGCAGAACUUUGGCUUAGAUUUAACUCAGAGUUGUUUGUACGGCUUUUGACACCAAUUGUGUAAUUUUUCAAAAUUUCAUGUGAGGGAUUGUUGUCAGAGUUCACUCUUAAAGGGCCCUAACAGUUUCAUCAUAUCAUGGAAAAUAGUCAUGGUCAGGAGAAGAAUAGGCCUGUUUUUCUAUAGAUGUGUAUAAAAUAGUUGUAUUUUAUCAUUUGAGUGGUGGUGAUUGUACCUAUACUGAACAUGCUCUAGAUGGCAGUAUUUACUUGGUCACUCCUUGGCUGCGACUAGAUAUGCUGUAAACUUGAAUAAAUGGAUUAUUCUUUGAGAACUGCACCCACUGUGUUCAGGUAUGAGACCUAAAGUAGAAACAGAAGUGUAAAUGUUUUUGGUGCAUUUCAUAGGAGACCCUGAUCAAUAUUUGUGACCAGAUAUUUGUAUGAAAUUGAAAUCAUGACAGUGCAAGAUCAUUAUAUGAAACUAAACACAUUAAUGAUUUAAAUGGAGGAUUCAAAUUCGGCUUUGAACAACAGGGGCAAAGAUUCUCUGAGUUGACACAGUGCAGCUGGAUGUGACCAAACUCCUCUCAGGAAUCCAUAACAUUCCCCACCGAGACACGGACAGAAGAGUCAUAUAGUGUUUGUUGUUAAUCUCUCCUGGUGCAGAACUCCAGACCGAGGAUCCUCUGAGUGCUCCAAGCUGGGGAUUCGGACUUUGUGGCCAUAGCCUGUGCAGAGACAGAUAGGCCUGCCUGUUUUAUAUGUAAAGCUUCCAGCCAGAAAGCACAGGCCCGCAGGGUUCUCUGCACAACUCCUUUGUUGAAGCCAAACUGUCAUGGGGUCCCACUGUCUAAGCUGCUUUGCAUUCUGGGAGCACACGAGAUGGGAAGGACAGGAAGCAUCUAAGGUGGGUGAAAGCUGGCCUUUUUAUAGGAAUUUGAGUUGUCAUGCUUUUAGACAAAACUAGCAUGAGCCCGGACGACAGUGUCAUGUUCAAACGAGUCCAGAAAGAAGACAAGACUUCACCUUUUUUAAUGCUUCAAUCUUUUCACAUCCUCACUUUCUGCUUCCUGUUUGGUGUGUCCACUGUGGUAAACAGUUGGAGAUAAUACCGCUCAGCUCUUCAGUUGCCAGGGAUUAUUUGGUGCUGUCAAUCAUUGAUUUGGUCCAAUGGUGCACUUUGAUGUGCGCGUGGACUCGCUGAGUCGACUAUUAAUUGAACCUCACAGUGGAGCCAAUCACAGCCUCCCAGUUCCUCAUCCUCUAUCAGCAAAGCUGCAGCGAACGGCCUCAUUUUAGCCUCUUGGGCAUGUUAUCAUUGCAAAUGAGCUGGUUAUCAACAAGACAGCCUAGACUACACAAAUAAACAGUGCAAGGGUGGAUUAGAGGAGUUUCCCUGUGUGCCUCUGUACUGUAGUUCGCUGGUUUUGUUUGAAGAUGUCUGGGUUGUUUUGCAAGCAUUUGUAUCAGGCUCUUUUUUUGGGGGCACAGAUUAAACUGUGUAGAAUUAAUAUAAAAAGCUUGAAAAUAGGUUCUUGAGACAGUUGUGCUUUGGCUGCAAUUCAGAAUUUGACAAAACAAUGAUUAUCUAUUGUAAAGACUUGAGUAAACAGAG
rnacentral:lncRNA from 1 species